GACGAACCGAGCGAACGUUGUUCGGAAUCACUGGGCUUAAAGGGCGCGUAGGCGGCUUGUCGCGUCGACUGUGAAAACCCGCGGCUCAACCGCGGGCCUGCAGCCGAUACGGGCAGGCUAGAGUUCGGUAGGGGAGACUGGAAUUCCUGGUGUAGCGGUGAAAUGCGCAGAUAUCAGGAGGAACACCGGUGGCGAAGGCGGCAUCCUGGACCGGCAUUGACGCUGAGGCGCGAAAGCUAGGGGAGCAAACGGG
rnacentral:rRNA from 1 species